AGCGAACGCUGGCGGCAGGCCUAACACAUGCAAGUCGAACGAACCUUUCGGGGUUAGUGGCGGACGGGUGAGUAACACGUGGGAACGUGCCUUUAAGUUCGGAAUAACUCAGGGAAACUUGUGCUAAUACCGAAUGUGCCCUUCGGGGGAAAGAUUUAUCGCCUUUAGAGCGGCCCGCGUCUGAUUAGCUAGUUGGUUGAGGUAAUGGCUCACCAAGGCGACGAUCAGUAGCUGGUCUGAGAGGAUGAUCAGCCACAUUGGGACUGAGACACGGCCCAAACUCCUACGGGAGGCAGCAGUGAGGAAUCUUGCGCAAUGGGCGAAAGCCUGACGCAGCCAUGCCGCGUGAAUGAUGAAGGUCUUAGGAUUGUAAAAUUCUUUCACCGGGGACGAUAAUGACGGUACCCGGAGAAGAAGCCCCGGCUAACUUCGUG
rnacentral:rRNA from 1 species